GCCUGUAGGUUAGCUCAGCUGGUAGAGCAGGGGACUCUUAAAUCUCAGUGUUGCGGGUUUGAGCCCCACGUUGGGCA